GAGCUGGGGAGCUCCAGCCUGGAAAGCCCCAAGCUACAGCCUAGCAGAGGGCUAGCAGGUCCCAUGCCUGAUUCAGAGCACAGGAUGGAUGAUGCUCAGGGCCUAUCUCCACAACGAGAUGCUGUUGCCUGCAGCACCUCUCCUGCGAGGAAGAGAAGGAAACAGAGUGAGUGAGAAGAGGAGGCUCAGACUGAAAGAGAACCUCUGAGAAAGAGAGAGGAUAAAACACAAGAAAAGAUGGAGAGAAAGCGAAGCACAGUGGCAUGGAGCAAUGUGAGAGAUGAGGGAAGGGACAUAAAGAGCCAAGGGAGAAGAAAAAACUAGGGAGAAGAGAAGCAAAGGAGAGAGUGAAGAGGCAAGAGCUCAAGUGGGAAAAGAGCCAACAGGACUGCUAAAAAAAAAUGAGGAUAGGAGGGGGAAGAUAAAACAGAAUGGAAAUAGAAUACACUGCUGCUGCAUGUAAAAGCAGAAACCAAGAAGUAGUAUUAAUUUUCAGAGACAAAAGAAUCAGUAACGAUCUGUGAACAAACAGAAGUAAUAUUAUAUUUCUACCAGAAAACAUAAUUUUCCCUCCCCACAGACUCAGUGUGACAUCUCUGUAUUAUAAAAUAGUGCUAUUUGCAUAACAGGUUGGGCUUUUCAACAGUUAAGGCAAAAUUCUCCUUCAGAUCUGCACAGCAGAUUUUGACUCUGAUAUUCUUUUUCUACAUGUGUAAAAUUCCCACUGGAGCCGAACAUCACUUGACACCCGGCAUCUGGAUCUGGGAGUAGAAUUUUGUCCUUGGUGCUUUAUAUUUAAUGGGAGAGGAAGAAAUAUGUGGAGAUUCCAAGCAAUGCUUCGUGACAAAAGUCAUUUUUGUAGGCUACCUCCUUGCUGGGAGUUUCUGAGAUACCUUCCGUCUCGUCGUCUUCUUUUUCAAGAAGA